rnacentral:tRNA from 1 species
GGAGGCAUGGCUUAGGAGGUAGAGCACCUGCUUUGCAAGCAUGAAGGUCUGAGUUCAAACUCCAGUACCACCA